UGGUCAGAGAGUUAUUGGGCUUAAGCAUCCGUAGCCGGCUUGUCAGUCUUCUGUUAAUCCAGCUGCUUAACCGAUGGGCUGCCGGGGAUACUGCUAGCUAGGGAGCGGGAGAGGUAGACGGUACUCCCGGGGUAGGGGUGAAAUCCUUUGAUCUCUUGAUGACCACCAGUGGCGAAGGCUGUCUACCAGAACACGUUCGACGGUGAGGGAUGAAAGCUGGGGGAGCAAACCGGAUUAGAUACCCGGGUAGUCCCAGCUGUAAACGAUGCAAACUCGGUGAUGGUUGGCUUCUUGCCAUGCAGUGCCGCAGGGAAGCUGUUAAGUUUGCCGCCUGGGAAGUACGGUCGCAAGUCUGAAACUUAAAGGAAUUGGCGGGGGGAGCACAG
rnacentral:rRNA from 1 species